GUUUAUUCAAGCGCCUGUUUGACAGAUACCGGAAAAGUUCAAUAGGACUGAGGGAAAAUCUGGUGAGGAAGGAAAACGGACAAGAAGAUGGCAGAACAGACUCACACUUUCUUUAUGGAUAUGCCCUGUAAAGGCUGUUCUGAUGCGGCCAUGAGGGUACUUACAAAGGACAAAAAAGUGAGUGAAGAAAACAUUACGAUUAACAUGGAAAGCAACACAAUUGAGAUCAAGUCCAGCUUGGAUAAAGAUACCUUGACCGGUAUUCUAGAAAAGACUGGGAAAACCGUGAGGUUUGAAGGAACAAAGUAACUGAUAUAUAUUUUGGAAGAUGUUUGUCAAUAUGGUGGAACAAACUGUACCGGAGGGACGUAUCCAGUAUAUACGGCUAUUAUGGACACUUUAUGGAUUCCUUAGUCAAGCUUAUUAGUCAAGGCUAUAAUUAGAGCUGUAAUGUAUUCAACACUUGUCAUUUAGAUUAUGCAGACUAUUUAUUACCCAGAAUGAUUUUUCAUAGUGGACCACUUUUACAUAAAAUUCCCCGAUACCUUAGUCAAAAACUUUCAUUUAACAGAAACAAAUUGUUAUAAUCUGCAGUACCAUAUAAGGGAAGUCAAGAUAAUCAAAAUCUUAAUCAGUUACAGUAUAAUUCAAUGUUCUAGUCACCAGGGAAGGGAUUACUGUAUAUACCAUACAGACGACAACUGUAUACAUUAUUGUAGACAGUAGGGUCACCAGGGAAGGGAUUACCUUAUAUACCAUACAGACGACAACUGUAUACAUUAUUGUAGACAGUAGGGUCACCAGGGAAGGGAUUACCUUAUAUACCAUACAGACGACAACUGUAUACAUUAUUGUAGACAGUAGGGUCACCAGGGAAGGGAUUACCGUAUAUACCAUACAGACGACAACUGUAUACAUUAUUGUAGACGGUAGGAAAGGGAGUAAAAUUACUUGUUCAAGUUGUAUCUGAUUGUGCAAAGAUUUUUUAAAACUUUUUUGAAACUGUUAUUUUAUAUUGUCUUGAACAAAUUGAUAAUCCUGGAAGAGAAAUCCAUAAUACACAUUGUUGAUUUCAGAUAUUACAGGUAAAUAAAUACUCAGAAGUUGUUACCAUUGAAGAGAACAGGUUUAAGGACAUAAAUAAAUAGCAUAUAUAGUUAAAUUUACAUUCCAGUGUUUUACUUACAAGUAAAUUAUGCCUCGUUAUCUAGUAAAUUAUGCCUCGUUAUCUAUGAUGGUUGUACUGAAUCACUAAUAAAGCAAAUUAUGGUGUUGUUUCUAUCAUUGUCGGUGUUUGUUACCUUUUAGCUUAAAUAUCUUUUCAUUAAGCAUUUUGAAAUAAGUUUUUAAGCUUUUAUUAUUUAGUAGGUCACCUGGACUUGUGUGUGAUGAGACUUUAAAUCACAUUUGCAUUUAAGUGAUGGUUUCUAACUACAUGUACCGUAAUUUCCUGAAGAUUUCUCUCAACAAUACUGUUGUUUAAUGAAAGUCAUUAACAGUUAUGACCUGUACUGGCUGAUAAUUGCUGGUUUAUAAAACAAAGCUAUAAACAUCUAGUCCCAGUGUUUACCCUAUCAUCCAUUAAACCUUAAAUAGAAGUUGAUAACUAGUAUUACAAGUAUGUCUGUAAGUGAUGUGGAGAAAAUGAAAUGAUUAGAAGUUUUGGAAAUCCACUGGAAGUUAUGAUACUUUGUUAUAAUGCUGUAACCAAAUACUCGUACACCGUCUUUGUAAGGUGUUCAACGUUUUACAAAUGAUAUAUUGUCUGGUUGGUUGUGACACAGAUAUGGAGAAUACAGGGUAAAUCAUGUUUGGUAUACAGUUAAGCUGCUUUUAUUAGUACAGCGUUUUUUUCUCCUCUUGGCCAAAACUACUGUGUCAAAAAAAAUCUGCUAUUCAUGUUUUCAGCUAUUUUGUCAUUGUAAAAUAUUCAGGUGUUUUUGAAAAAAGAUUUAAAUUGACUUUUUGCUAAAAACUGUUAGUAUCUUUUCUUACAAUGGCUUGGCUUUAGGCAUUUUAUAAUAUCCCAUGUGAAUUUAGGACCAAUCUCUCAGCUUUUAGGAGCAAUAUUUUGAUUUUCACAUUCAUCCCAAAUAUGCAGAAUUGCUUUGUUGUAUCAAGAUUCUUACCUAGUACUUAUCUACUUACUACAAACACUACUGAACAUUUGUCCAUAAAUUUUGUUUUCUCUAAAGUUUGAUUGUAAAUAAGUCUUUACAAUGCAGGCCAUUUUUGCUUCUAUAAUAAUGGUUGUAUGUAAUAUUGCAAGGAACUAGAACCCUGCUAAGUGGUUAGUUUUUGGAAAAUAAAGCAUUAUCAUUGUCAUCAUAA